GUGAGGAAUAUUGGACAAUGGAUGGAAAUCUGAUCCAGCCAUGCCGCGUGCAGGAAGACGGCCCUAUGGGUUGUAAACUGCUUUUAUACGGGAGCAAUAAGGUCUAUGCAUAGAUUGAUGAGAGUACCGUAUGAAUAAGCAUCGGCUAACUCCGUGCCAGCAGCCGCGGUAAUACGGAGGAUGCGAGCGUUAUCCGGAUUUAUUGGGUUUAAAGGGUGCGUAGGCGGCUUUGUAAGUCAGCGGUGAAAUUGUGCAGCUUAACUGUAAAAGCGCCGUUGAUACUGUGAAGCUAGGAUUUGGUUGCUGUGGGCGGAAUGUGUGGUGUAGCGGUGAAAUGCAUAGAGAUCACACAGAAUAUCGAUUGCGAAGGCAGCUCACAAAGCCAAUAUUGACGCUGAGGCACGAAAGUGUGGGGAUCAAACAGGAUUAGAAACCCCGGUAGUCC
rnacentral:rRNA from 1 species